rnacentral:rRNA from 1 species
UUUAUGGAGAGUUUGAUCCUGGCUCAGGAUGAACGCUGGCGGCGUGCCUAAUACAUGCAAGUCGAGCGAACGGACGAGAAGCUUGCUUCUCUGAUGUUAGCGGCGGACGGGUGAGUAACACGUGGAUAACCUACCUAUAAGACUGGGAUAACUUCGGGAAACCGGAGCUAAUACCGGAUAAUAUUUUGAACCGCAUGGUUCAAAAGUGAAAGACGGUCUUGCUGUCACUUAUAGAUGGAUCCGCGCUGCAUUAGCUAGUUGGUAAGGUAACGGCUUACCAAGGCAACGAUGCAUAGCCGACCUGAGAGGGUGAUCGGCCACACUGGAACUGAGACACGGUCCAGACUCCUACGGGAGGCAGCAGUAGGGAAUCUUCCGCAAUGGGCGAAAGCCUGACGGAGCAACGCCGCGUGAGUGAUGAAGGUCUUCGGAUCGUAAAACUCUGUUAUUAGGGAAGAACAUAUGUGUAAGUAACUGUGCACAUCUUGACGGUACCUAAUCAGAAAGCCACGGCUAACUACGUGCCAGCAGCCGCGGUAAUACGUAGGUGGCAAGCGUUAUCCGGAAUUAUUGGGCGUAAAGCGCGCGUAGGCGGUUUUUUAAGUCUGAUGUGAAAGCCCACGGCUCAACCGUGGAGGGUCAUUGGAAACUGGAAAACUUGAGUGCAGAAGAGGAAAGUGGAAUUCCAUGUGUAGCGGUGAAAUGCGCAGAGAUAUGGAGGAACACCAGUGGCGAAGGCGACUUUCUGGUCUGUAACUGACGCUGAUGUGCGAAAGCGUGGGGAUCAAACAGGAUUAGAUACCCUGGUAGUCCACGCCGUAAACGAUGAGUGCUAAGUGUUAGGGGGUUUCCGCCCCUUAGUGCUGCAGCUAACGCAUUAAGCACUCCGCCUGGGGAGUACGACCGCAAGGUUGAAACUCAAAGGAAUUGACGGGGACCCGCACAAGCGGUGGAGCAUGUGGUUUAAUUCGAAGCAACGCGAAGAACCUUACCAAAUCUUGACAUCCUUUGACAACUCUAGAGAUAGAGCCUUCCCCUUCGGGGGACAAAGUGACAGGUGGUGCAUGGUUGUCGUCAGCUCGUGUCGUGAGAUGUUGGGUUAAGUCCCGCAACGAGCGCAACCCUUAAGCUUAGUUGCCAUCAUUAAGUUGGGCACUCUAAGUUGACUGCCGGUGACAAACCGGAGGAAGGUGGGGAUGACGUCAAAUCAUCAUGCCCCUUAUGAUUUGGGCUACACACGUGCUACAAUGGACAAUACAAAGGGCAGCGAAACCGCGAGGUCAAGCAAAUCCCAUAAAGUUGUUCUCAGUUCGGAUUGUAGUCUGCAACUCGACUACAUGAAGCUGGAAUCGCUAGUAAUCGUAGAUCAGCAUGCUACGGUGAAUACGUUCCCGGGUCUUGUACACACCGCCCGUCACACCACGAGAGUUUGUAACACCCGAAGCCGGUGGAGUAACCUUUUAGGAGCUAGCCG